GACGAACGCUGGCGACGUGCCUAAUACAUGCAAGUAGAACGCACAGUUUAUACCGUAGCUUGCUACACCAUAGACUGUGAGUUGCGAACGGGUGAGUAACGCGUAGGUAACCUGCCUGGUAGCGGGGGAUAACUAUUGGAAACGAUAGCUAAUACCGCAUAAUAUUGAUUAUUGCAUGAUAAUUGAUUGAAAGAUGCUAUUGCAUCACUACCAGAUGGACCUGCGUUGUAUUAGCUAGUAGGUGAGGUAACGGCUCACCUAGGCGACGAUACAUAGCCGACCUGAGAGGGUGAUCGGCCACACUGGGACUGAGACACGGCCCAGACUCCUACGGGAGGCAGCAGUAGGGAAUCUUCGGCAAUGGACGAAAGUCUGACCGAGCAACGCCGCGUGAGUGAAGAAGGUUUUCGGAUCGUAAAGCUCUGUUGUAAGAGAAGAACGGGUGUGAGAGUGGAAAGUUCACACUGUGACGGUAUCUUACCAGAAAGGGACGGCUAACUACGUG
rnacentral:rRNA from 1 species